CCUACGGGAGGCAGCAGUAGGGAAUUUUCGUCAAUGGGCGCAAGCCUGAACGAGCAAUGCCGCGUGAACGAGGAAGGUCUUCGGAUCGUAAAGUUCUGUUGAAGGGGAGAAAGAGCGGAGAGAGGAAAUGAACUCCGAUUGAUAUUACCCUUCGAGGAAGUCACGGCUAACUACGUGCCAGCAGCCGCGGUAAUACGUAGGUGGCGAGCGUUAUCCGGAAUGAUUGGGCGGAAAGGGUGCGUAGGCGGCCUGCUAAGUCUGGAGUGAAAGGUACCGGCUCAACCGGUACAGGCUCUGGAAACUGGCGGGCUAGAGAGCAGGAGAGGGCGGUGGAACUCCAUGGGUAGCGGUAAAAUGCGUAGAUAUAUGGAAGAACACCAGUGGCGAAGGCGGCCGCCUGGCCUGUUGACUGACGCUGAGGCACGAAAGCGUGGGGAGCAAAUAGGAUUAGAUACCCGAGUAGUC
rnacentral:rRNA from 1 species